AUGAACGCUGGCGGCGUGCUUAACACAUGCAAGUCGAACGAUGAAGCCCAGCUUGCUGGGUGGAUUAGUGGCGAACGGGUGAGUAACACGUGAGUAACCUGCCCUUAACUCUGGGAUAAGCCUGGGAAACUGGGUCUAAUACCGGAUAGGAGCGUCCACCGCAUGGUGGGUGUUGGAAAGAUUUAUCGGUUUUGGAUGGACUCGCGGCCUAUCAGCUUGUUGGUGAGGUAAUGGCUCACCAAGGCGACGACGGGUAGCCGGCCUGAGAGGGUGACCGGCCACACUGGGACUGAGACACGGCCCAGACUCCUACGGGAGGCAGCAGUGGGGAAUAUUGCACAAUGGGCGAAGCCUGAUGCAGCGACGCCGCGUGAGGGAUGACGGCCUUCGGGUUGUAAACCUCUUUCAGUAGGGAAGAAGCGAAAGUGACGGUACCUG
rnacentral:rRNA from 1 species